CCGCGGUAUCCUAACCGUGCAAAGGUAGCAUAAUCAUUUGUCUAUUAAUUGUAGACCUGUAUGAAAGGCAAAAUGAGAGCCCAACUGUCUCUUAUAACAAAUCAAUAAAACUGAUCUCCUAGUACAAAAGCUAGAAUACUAACAUAAGACCAGAAGACCCUGUGAAGCUUUAACAAACCCAUUAAAUCAAAUAAUGAUUACUUUCGGUUGGGGCGACCUUGGAAUAAAAAAGAACUUCCAACAUAUGACCUGCUCAUAAAAUAAGGCAAACAAGCCAAUACUAGACCCAGCACAGCUGAUAAUUGAAAUAAGUUACUCCAGGGAUAACAGCGCUAUCUUCUUUAAGAGCCCAUAUCAAAAAGAAGGUUUACGACCUCGAUGUUGGAUCAGGACAUCCCAGUAAUGCAUCCGUUACUAAAGGUUCGUUUGUUCAACGAUUAACAGUCC
rnacentral:rRNA from 1 species